GAUGAACGCUGGCGGCGUGCCUAAUACAUGCAAGUCGAGCGAACAGACGAGGAGCUUGCUCCUCUGACGUUAGCGGCGGACGGGUGAGUAACACGUGGAUAACCUACCUAUAAGACUGGGAUAACUUCGGGAAACCGGAGCUAAUACCGGAUAAUAUAUUGAACCGCAUGGUUCAAUAGUGAAAGACGGUUUUGCUGUCACUUAUAGCUGGAUCCGCGCCGCAUUAGCUAGUUGGUAAGGUAAAGGCUUACCAAGGCAACGAUGCGUAGCCGACCUGAGUGGGUGAUCGCCCACACUGGAACUGAGACACGGUCCAGACUCCUACGGGAGGCAGCAGUAGGGAAUCUUCCGCAAAGGGCGAAAGCCUGACGGAGCAACGCCGCGUGAGUGAUGAAGGUCUUCGGAUCGUAAAACUCUGUUAUUAGGGAAGAACAAAUGUGUAAGUAACUAUGCACGUCUUGACGGUACCUAAUCAGAAAGCCACGGCUAACUACGUG
rnacentral:rRNA from 1 species